GCGAGCGUGGUUCAGUGGUAAAACAUCUCCUUGCCAAGGAGAAGAUGCGGGUUCGA
rnacentral:tRNA from 4 species